rnacentral:misc_RNA from 1 species
CCAAACUUGGUCAUUUAGAGGAAGUAAAAGUCGUAACAAGGUUUCCGUAGGUGAACCUGCGGAAGGAUCAUUACAGAGUUAGGGUCUACUCAGGCCCGACCUCCCAACCCUUUGUUUACUAAACUACAUGUUGCUUCGGCGAGCCCGUCCUUACCGGGACCGCCGGAGGACCGCCGAGAGGCGUCCUCUGGCCCGCGCUCGCCGAUGGCCCAACCAUUGAAACUCUUGGAAUCAUGCUUUGAAUUGUCUGAGUUACAUGUUUUAAAUUAAAAGCAAAACUUUCAACAACGGAUCUCUUGGUUCUGGCAUCGAUGAAGAACGCAGC